UAGGGAAUCUUCGGCAAUGGGGGCAACCCUGACCGAGCAACGCCGCGUGAGUGAAGAAGGUUUUCGGAUCGUAAAGCUCUGUUGUAAGAGAAGAACGUGUGUGAGAGUGGAAAGUUCACACAGUGACGGUAACUUACCAGAAAGGGACGGCUAACUACGUGCCAGCAGCCGCGGUAAUACGUAGGUCCCGAGCGUUGUCCGGAUUUAUUGGGGGUAAAGCGAGCGCAGGCGGUUUAAUAAGUCUGAAGUUAAAGGCAGUGGCUUAACCAUUGUUCGCUUUGGAAACUGUUAAACUUGAGUGCAGAAGGGGAGAAGGGAAUUCCAUGUGUAGCGGUGAAAUGCGUAGAUAUAUGGAGGAACACCGAUGGCGAAAGCGGCUCUCUGGUCUGUAACUGACGCUGAGGCUCGAAAGCGUGGGGAGCAAACAGG
rnacentral:rRNA from 1 species